rnacentral:piRNA from 1 species
UGAAAACGGGAGUGAUGAGCGG